UCUGCCCACGAUACCUAAAAUUUGUAUUCAAAUUAUUUUUAAUGCUAACAAUAUUCAUGCGUGUAGUUGCAGUAUCAACAACGCUAUGUUGUUUUAGAAAGGAGAACCUACUUUGAAUUCGUUACUGCUGGUAAGGUUGAAAACUCUUUUCUCAUAAUCUUUGAAAUAAAUGAAAUUCCAUGAAGAUGUCAGUAUAGCAUUAACAGCGAUAUCAACCGGUAGAUAAUCUGCGUAACCAGUUUCGUUGCAGUACAUUGUCCGUAUAACACCUUUUCCAGCUCCAAUUAAAAGUCCUGUCGGUCCAUUGAUAUUGUCCGUCCAUCCUGGUACCGGUUCCUUCCAAACAGGUAUAACUAUACUUGGCCUAUGAUUAAACAUGUAAUUAAAUAGUGUAUACUUUAAAAUACCUAUUUUGUAAUUCUGCAGAUAACACUUGCAUGUUUUUACCUUAAUAUAAUGGCUGGAAUAUGCGGCAUGGCCUCUUCAACGAGUCCUUCGGACAAGGCUUUCGUGAAGGCGUAUGUGUUAGGAAGUCCUCCUAGAAUUUUGUCAGUCAUUGCUUCGAUGACAUCGUCAUCCAUCCAUUCUACAUACUUGAUAACUUUGUGAGGAUCCGCUGGUGGAGGGUAAGGUUUUUCUCCCAAGACCUAAAAUCAAAAAAAAAGAAAAUUGAUAAGAUAUUUCAAUAUAGGUAGGUAUAUAAAUAAUUUUGGUCUAAGGAAACAAAUGCAAACCAAAUAGUAUUAUCAUUCCUAGUGACAAUGAUUUAAUAGUCUUUUAAAAAUGAAAGACUAACCAUUUCUUAACAUAUUUUCGAACAGUUUUAACAUAACGUAUUAUACCUUUUCUUCUAAAUGGCAAUACGCAGUGCUGAUGUGAGCAAACAGCUUCAAGUGUUUGAUCUCCUUAGCAAGUUGUAGCGUUUCCUUCGUGCCACGAGUGUUUAACAGUACCGCCUUUUUCAGUAGCUCAUCGAAUCUAAUAUCGUUGCGUAGUUACGAUUAAAUGUAGUUCACCGCCGAAGUUGUACAUUUAUUUUACAUUCUGCUACAAUACCUUACUGUGGCGGCACCGUGAUAUAGAAUGUUAAUGUUCUCACAAAGCAUCUUCUUGUCUUCAGCAGAGAGUCCAAGACCAAGCAAUGAUACAUCCCCAUUUACAACUGUCACAGCCUCAUGAAGUUCCGCUAAUCCUCUUUCCUGUUUAACUUUAUCAAAGAGCUGCAACAAGUAAGCAUUAACUCACGUCAACUGUAUUUGAAUCAAAAGCUUUGCACGGCGUUAACUCUCUUUUUAUUUGUCUCAGCAUUUAUUAUAAUUUGUUAGUAUAAACAUGAGGUGAAUUGUUGAUCCUAAGUAAGACGAUACUUCCAUUGAAACAACGUCAUUCAUCGAUUCAAUAAGAGCAACGUGACAUCAGUUGUUGUUCGUACGAAGAAAAAUACGUAACACGACCAUACGUUUCUCCCUUUUUAGUUGAAUUUGCGUGUCUAGUAUUAGAUGAUGUUGCUUGAUUGUGUCCCAGUAUCUGACAAAAUAAUCACCGGUGUGAUGAUUAUUACAGUUUUUACGUUCGUAAAUCUAGCGCAACAAUUAUUCCUUCACAGCGAUAAUUAAUACCGUGCGCCUGUUUAUGCUAAUUAAUGUGUUCAAGUCACGCCGUAGGAAAAUUGAAAUGGAACAGAAACUUUUUACAUUGAAGUUUUUGCCAAGGAAAACUGUGAUCGUUAAACGCCUAUAGAACGCGAACAUGUGAACUGACUCAACUUUCUUUCACAUGAUGCAAUUUGACCUCCUCUCGGGGAGAGAUUUACACCAUGCAUUAGGUGUUUCGACAUUACUGUACACGCAGUUCGUGGCCUAUCCGACCGAUCCAAAAUUCGAACGACGAAGAAAUGUACCUUCGCGGGAUUAACUUACCGGAGGGGCGUACUUCAGCGGUUCGAUACAGGUGAUUUACCUCUAAUCGAAUGAUGUCCCGGCGCACCAUUGAUCGGUAUUAAGUCGAAAUUAUGAAAUGCGAGCCGCAGGAGCAUCUUGGCCAACCAGAGAAAUUCCGACGACUUUCCGAGGCUAUUAAACACGAGGAUUGCAUAUCCCUGCGAUCGUAACAUUGUGGCCGAUUUCGCUGCUGUAAAAAUGGCAGAAUUAUGAAACGACCUGUAGUACAAUAGCCUGGCCAGGUGUCCCGCAAUCGCGUCACAGCGGAAUCUGGCUGUUACCUAGGAUAGAUGAAUACAACGUAACACACGCGAGCCAACUUUCACCAGGUAGUACUAGACAAAUUCCAGUCUUGAUAAUAAUGAUAGCACCGGCGUACCUCGUCCUCUACGAGCUGGAGGCCUUGACUCGGUUUCACGCGUUUUCGCUCUUUUAACACGAUGCAGAAAAUGGAACACUGCGAUGUGCUUCCAUAUCGGAGUUUGUUAAUUUUAUUUCGCACGCGACUUCCUUUCAAGCGUACGUUACGUAAUGUACCCAGAAUUUGUAAAUAGAACACGAACCAAUUAUUUAUUCGUUAACAUUGAUUUCGUCGCUUUUCAAAGUAGAGGCCAUACUAGUAUGAUGAAAAUUUAUUUAAACUUAACGAGACGUCAUAUUUGUAUGUUAAGAAAUAUUGGGACGAAUCGAAGUGUUUGGUUUAGUUCAAUCCAAAUUGGAAAGUUAGGUGGUAUCUGAACAAUUAAUUCCUCAUUGUACGAUCUGCGGAUCCUAAUCAAAUCGAGUAGCGACGCGUCGCACGUUCAAUGGUCGAAUUCGAAAUGAAACGAAACCCCUGUCGAAAUGCAAUCAACGGACAAUUUAUAGACAGUCUUGCACUUUCUAGCGUACCUUCAGUAACGAAGGUAGUCCAGCCUGAACAACCCGAUUUCUAUUCCUAUGCAAUUUUGUGAAACCAUAUUGUAUAUACGACAUGUUGAAACACGGAAACAAUAUAUUAUUUUUAGUUGGAAAAAAAUAUAUAUAAAUCAUACGCGGGUACGCGUGACGAGCUGAAAUAAUUUCUCUAGUACGACUCGAUAUUACAUAAAGCUUGAGGUUAAAAUAAAUUCAUUCCGUCGAAGAAAAGCGUUCAUUCGAUAGCAUCGAAUAAAAAUCUGUGAAACAGGGGUUUCGAAAUUAAGUAAAAACGUACACACGAUCGUUUCGACAGUGGACAUUAUUCCAACGAUUUCUGCAACUAUUCAGCGUGAAACGCGGUUCAAUAAUUAUAGCAAUUUCACGAACUUGUGGAACUAUAAAAUGAAAUAUGUUAAGAAAGUUUACGAUUGCGUCCCGGAAUAACGAAACAACAAAUGAAUUCUAAACACGAAAUUAGUACCGGUAUCAUAAUGUUGCGCGCAUACUACUACGUCGUAUACUCCGUUCAUUAUAUUUUACAUAUUUUUUUAUACCGACAAUUAGAUUAGACUGGUACGUUCGA